GUUCUGCUGACAAGGUAAAACAAUGAGGAGCACUGCCCCACAGCCAAGCUGGGAUGCUGGACCCAUUCCAGAGAGAAGCAUCAGUCACCUGAAGCCACCCAUUCACAAAGGCGAGAUCUGUGGGUGUGAGACUCGCUGGCUCCCCAUGCUGACUGCAGGAUGACUGCAAUCUGUCUGUCUGCCACAUGAAUCACCAGAGUCCGCUCAGAAGCUGGAGCAGUGCCAACUGUCUGUUUUCCUAGAAGACAGGGCUUCACCCUGCAGGCACCCUCCGCGUCCUUAGUGCCUGGUGCUGCUACUCGGCACCCUGCCUGCCCUGGCAGCUCUUCUUCCCGUCGCACGUGGGGCAGAGGAGGUCCAACACGUUACCUUCUCCAGUUUCACCCGAGACUCCCGUCCACAUUCCAGGGGCGUGGUGAGGGUAUUUAAAUCCUGACCCCAGAAGGCAAAAAACUUCUCAAUUCGGAGACUGCGAAGAGCGUAAUACCCAGCAUUCCGGAUUCCAUAUUUCUGCCCGACACUCAUCACCUCAUUGUAUACGUGCAGAGCAUACUACAGGGAGAGACGUUAGAGAGGUCAGUUUUCCCGUUUUCUAGAAGUGGUGAUAGCUGACGCUAUUAGAAUGGACAGGCUGUAAAACUCCCAGAAUGGGUCAUCCUUGACAAGUCCUGGCAUUAGAGCCCAGAGAAAAGAGUUGGAGGUCACCCCCAACCCGACUGCUCCACGAAAGCAGGAUGCCUAUAUCACAUCUUUAAAAUGUCAAGUAGAAUGAUUUUAACAUGCAGCAAUCAUUUAUUUGAAAGAGUGGUUCACUCUCCAAAUGCCCAAAACAGUGAUGGCCAGGCCGAAGGCAGGAGCUGCAUCUGGAUCUCCCACAAAUUUGAGCCAUCACCUGCUGCUUCCCAGCAUGCACACUGGCAAGAAGCUGGAAUGGAAGUGGACCCACACACUCCCACCACAUGGGAUAUGUUGGCAUUCCAAGCAGCAACUUAACAAUGUUGUGCCAAAUGCCCACCCCACUACACAGCAGUUACCAAAUUAUAACCCACACAAGUGCCCUCACCAAAUGGCCAAUCAUAAUCAUUUCUAAAACAGCCCACUAGCCACAUCCACACGAUCAAGCCUUGCAAGCUACUUAAGUGAACAUUUUCCAGACUCAAGUCAACAUUAUCUAAACAUGCUCUGUUUACUACUGUGAAAGCAGAAGACAACACAGGAAAAGAUCAGCCUCACUGAUUCUGCAACUCUUUUUUUUUUUUUUUUAAUUUGUUGAAAAGGCCAAGUUGUGGCCAGCACUGUGGCAUAGCGGGUAAAGCUGCAGUCUGUAGUGCUGGCAUCCCAUAUGGGUGCCAGUUCGAGUCCUGUCUUCUCUACUUCCAACCCAACUCUCUGCUAUGGCCUGGGAAAGCAGUAGGAAAUGGCCCAAGGACUUGGGCCCUUGCAACCAUGUGGGAGACCCAGAAUAAGUCCCUGGCUCCUGGCUUCAGAUUGGCACAGCUCCAGCUGUUGCAGCCAUUUGGGGAGUGAACCAGCGGAUGGAAGACCUUCUCUUUAACUCUGCCUUUCAAAUAUCUUCCAUUUGCUGUUUACUCUCUGACCUCAAUGGCCAGGGCUGGGCCAGGCUGGAGCUAGGAGCCUGGAGCUUCUGCCAGAUUUCCUACGUUGGUGCGGGGGCGCAGGGGCCCAAACAGUUGGGCCAUGUUCUGCUGCUUUUCCCAGGGAUAUGAACAGGGAGCUGGGUUUGAAACAAAGCAGCCAGUCUCAAACCAGUGCCCACGUGGGACACCAGCACUGCAGGCAGAGGCCUGACCUGCUGUAUCCCAGCUCCUGCAGCGCUAAGCUGAAGACAGCACUUACCUGCAGCGUGUGCACGUGUGUGUGUGUGGAACAAUUAAAUCAGCAAAGGUGGGCAGAGGAGGCCACCAGAGACCAGCACACAAAUGAGAAUAACGACCAGCAACUCUGGCAGGUUUGGAGCUUUCCCUUGUCCUGCUGAAUCCUCUGCACUGUAGAUAAGAGGACGGCCAAGGAGAAAAGCCCUGAUGCUAGGUGCCCACUGUUAGAGGACAGCGUGGGUCUCCAUCAUCUAUUCAUUUUUCUCACUAAACACCAGAGACUGGUAGAUACCAAGCCAUCUGCCUCCGUGUAGUACUGGAAAACCGCUUCUCAAAAGCACAAAGCCAGCUUAAAAGUAAUUCAGGCAUGGCACAAUGACCUCUUGGACUCACGGGGGAUCCUAAGAACGGAGCUAGUCCAGGAGGCCCAGAGGCUGGAUCCAGGGCCUCCACGUGAGACGAGGCUGCGGAGGCCCCAGGUCUCCAAAUGGACACCACAACUGCGGCACCUGAGAGCCGCCCAGUGAGCACAGGCAGACCACCGCAGUGACCUAGUUCAGUUCUUCAUGCGCCGAAUAAUCCCUUCAUCUUACUACUAUUAACAUUUCUUUUCUCGCUCACCCCCUCCACCUAUAUAGCUCCACUUCCAGUCCAGCUCUGCUAUGGCCUGAGAAGGCAGUGGGGCCCCUGUGCACACAUGAGAGAUCCAGAAGCUGCUCCUGGCUUCCUACUGCCCCAGUUCUGGCCAUUGCAGCCAUCUGGGGGGUGAACCAGAGGAUGGAAGGGCUCUCUCUCUUUCUCUAAUUCUCCCCCUUGAAUAAAUAAAUAGAUCUUUAAAAAAUAAAUAAACAACAUUGCCCAA